AUGGUGUGCAGUUCCAUCAGUGUGGUCGUGCGGCACGCGGGCGUGGGUUUGCAAUGUGGUGCCCAUCUACAUGCAGCCCACGAUGAUGGCCAUAUCCGCUGGGGCUUUUUUAUUCGUGUUUUUAUAUUGUACUCCCAUGGCCACCAUCCCGUAUUUGUGCGAGUAUUUGUUUGCCUAAUGGCCCAUAGCCAGCUCCACCACAGGGCGUCUAACUCUGUAUGUUCCCAAUGCAGUUCGGCGGGCGAGCAUGUUCCGUGCAGUGCAUUUGCCAUGUUCUUGCAUUUUGUAGUGUUUUCAUUUUGCAGCUCCUUUGCUUUUUGUUGCAGCUCACUCAAUAUUUAUUUGCAGUUCAUUGCGAGACUCCAUGGUGCUGGUCGCGCCACUCCUUUUCUUGUUGCUACGUCUGAGGCGAGGACGGGCUCUGCCACACCGGGAACCAGGGUGUUCGCGACACCGGCGAAGACGGCGUGGUGGUUCCCUUCUUUCCCAACAAUAGAAGUUGUCCUGCAGCUAUGUAAUUGUUGA
rnacentral:rRNA from 1 species